AGUGAACGCUGGCGGUAGGCCUAACACAUGCAAGUCGAACGGCAGCACAGUAAGAGCUUGCUCUUACGGGUGGCGAGUGGCGGACGGGUGAGGAAUACAUCGGAAUCUACUUUUUCGUGGGGGAUCACGUAGGGAAACUUACGCUAAUACCGCAUACGACCUACGGGUGAAAGCAGGGGAUCUUCGGACCUUGCGCGAUUGAAUGAGCCGAUGUCGGAUUAGCUAGUUGGCGGGGUAAAGGCCCACCAAGGCGACGAUCCGUAGCUGGUCUGAGAGGAUGAUCGGCCGCACUGGAACGGAGACACGGUCCAGACUCCUGCGGGAGGGAGCAGUGGGGAAUGGUGGACAAUGGGCGCAAGCCUGAUCCAGCCAUACCGCGUGUGUGAAGAAGGCCUUCGGGUUGUAAAGCCCUUUUGUUGGGAAAGAAAAGCAGCAGGUUAAGACCCCGCUGUUCUGACGGUACCCAAAGAAUAAGCACCGGCUAACUUCGUG
rnacentral:rRNA from 1 species